rnacentral:rRNA from 1 species
UACAGAGGUCUCAAGCGUUGUUCGGAUUCAUUGGGCGUAAAGGGUGCGUAGGUGGCGCGGUAAGUCGGGUGUGAAAUCUCGGAGCUUAACUCCGAAAUUGCAUUCGAUACUGCCGUGCUUGAGGACUGGAGAGGAGACUGGAAUUUACGGUGUAGCAGUGAAAUGCGUAGAGAUCGUAAGGAAGACCAGUGGCGAAGGCGGGUCUCUGGACAGUUCCUGACACUGAGGCACGAAGGCCAGGGGAGCAAACGGG